rnacentral:rRNA from 1 species
CAAGAGGAAUACUCAUUGCGAAGGCGACCUGCUGGAACAUUACUGACGCUGAUGCGCGAAAGCGUGGGGAGCAAACAGGAUUAGAUACCCUGGUAGUCCACGCCCUAAACGAUGAAUGCUAGUUGUUGUGGAGCUUGUCUCUGCAGUAAUGCAGCUAACGCAUUAAGCAUUCCGCCUGGGGAGUACGGUCGCAAGAUUAAAACUCAAAGGAAUAGACGGGGACCCGCACAAGCGGUGGAGCAUGUGGUUUAAUUCGAAGAUACGCGAAGAACCUUACCUAGGCUUGACAUUGAUAGAAUCUGCUAGAGAUAGCGGAGUGCUGGCUUGCCAGAGCUUGAAAACAGGUGCUGCACGGCUGUCGUCAGCUCGUGUCGUGAGAUGUUGGGUUAAGUCCCGCAACGAGCGCAACCCUCGUCCUUAGUUGCUAACAGUUCGGCUGAGCACUCUAGGGAGACUGCCUUCGUAAGGAGGAGGAAGGUGAGGACGACGUCAAGUCAUCAUGGCCCUUACGCCUAGGGCUACACACGUGCUACAAUGGGAUGUACAAAGAGACGCAAUACCGCGAGGUGGAGCAAAUCUCAAAAACAUCUCUCAGUUCGGAUUGUAGUC